AGAGAUCAUCCUGAUGCAUCAAGUGCCCACAGCCUAUCGGUUGUUUAGCAGUUCCUCGAGAGGGGUGCGGGGGUCUGUAGCUCAGCUGGUUAGAGCACACGCUUGAUAAGCGUGGGGUCGUAGGUUCAGGUCCUACCAGACCCACCAGCGAUUUGCGGUGGUGGUUGGGAAUCGUGAUCGGGGGUGUAGCUCAGUUGGGAGAGCGCCUGCUUUGCAAGCAGGAGGUCAUCGGUUCGAUCCCGUUCACCUCCACCAAUUUCUGAGAGUUUGGAAGCGAGCGAGCUUGGGGGUUUGCUGGCUUCUGGGCUUUUGGCCUGGGGCUGUUGGGUUUUUUAACAAUUUGGAAGAAGUAAAGUGUGUCGAUUCGCAAGAAUCGACGCAUGGGUUGUGAUUGUAUCUACCGUUUCUGGCUCCUUACCAGCGAGUCGGAGGCGGCACAAGCGCGUGAGUUGCCUAUGAUCUGCGUGUCUGCUGCCGAGCAGAGCGCAAGGUUAUAG
rnacentral:tRNA from 1 species